rnacentral:rRNA from 1 species
GAUGCGACCUCAGCUCAGGCGGGGCUACCCG